rnacentral:miRNA from 1 species
UCGACAAGGUGGUUGUGACAUG